UUUGUGGUCGAUUUAUUUAUAUUUCUUUCACUUUAUAUAAAAAAAGAAGAAAAAAAAGAAGAAAGAAAAAAGCUAACUACUGUCACGACGAUUUAAUAAUCAAUCACGUUACAAGGACAAGAAGGCGUAGGAGAGAAAAAUCCCGUAUUCCCGGUCAUCACUCCAGUCUAUCUGUCUAACACGAGUUAUCGUGUUUGACCUGGUUUCGGGACAGCAUGUGGCACAACGUGCUAAGACUAGUCGACCCACUCCAGUCUGCGCUGAUUCGGGAUACGAAACUAUCAUAGUGGACUAGACGAGGGUUAACUCCGGUGGGGGGAUGUACCGCUGAACGGAUGACACAUAUCUAUACUGCUGCCGGUGGCGAAUAGGAUUACAUGUCUCUUGCAAGUUACUACUCCAUUGAAAAGUGAAUGCCCGAUUUCCGCAGAUAGAGCAAACAAAUCGCUUCCCGCCGAUUCGCCAGAGAACUAGGAGAAGUGCCUCCUCUCUCUCCGCUGACACGAUUCGGGAUAAAAUACUUGUACUGGCAGAGAGUGAGCGACACCGGCAUCGACAAACAAAGAAGAGUUUCUCUCUAUCUCUCUACAGUAUGUCGGAUAGCCGGCGUGGAGAUGCUUGAACAUGCGGGACGUGCAUUGCCAACGCUGAUGAUCGGUUAUUCGCCUUCAAAAACGGUUAAUGGAUUGUGUUUCGUUUUCGGUUUGCUUUUCUCUCUGAACGUUUUGCUACAGUUCGAAUCGGAACGAUGACGCCUUGUGUUGAAGGUCGGGACACGAAACUAACUUCAAUGUGACGAAAAUGCGAAUUGAGUUUACCAUUUGUACAGUUUUUGUUGUUCUUCUACCUUUAUGGAUCGCAGACGAAGUUCAAUGCCGACUGUGCCAGCAAUGUGGAGAUAGCGGGCGAUACAAAGCCUGCAAAUAUGGCAGAGUAGAGCCUACGCUGUGCAAGGACAACCAGACGUAUUGCGCCACCUUUGCUGUCUCAAUGGAUAAAAAUGCGGGGCCAUACAUCGCCAGAAGUUGUACGAGUUUCAAUGGUUCCAUAUGCAAUGUUAAGACACUCUUCGACGGUCGUUCGGUGGCGAUUUGCCGGAAGUCAUGUGACACAGAUGGGUGCAACCAAGGAGAAUGGGAGAUCUAGGAUGAUGAUGAUGUAGAUGAUGAUGACAUAGUUGAUGAUGAUGAUGAUGUAGAUGCAUGUGGCAGAGACGUCUCGACGAUACCCAGUAGAGAAUGGUUUCCCUUCAUGCCGGGGUGUCGUUAAACAUUUAUUUCCUCAUUUGUGAAAACGAAAACAAAAAAUGCAGUUUUGACCUACAUCUUGGAUCGAUGGAGAUUUGCGUUUAGGACCGGAGAAUAACGAGCUGAUUGAGAGCACAGCGAUGGUUAGACAGUUACUUUGGGAAUGGUCUUAAGUGAUAUAGAUUUUCAUUGGUAGUCAAAUGGUUAAAAUCCAUUAAGCAACCGAAGGAUACUAUAAGCUGUACUAAAAUUGCAUUACGCCUUGGUGCCUUUAUUUGAAUAAACUCGAGUCGAGAUGAAAACCCAUUUUCGAUGGACCGUAUGGAAUUGCAGCAACCAAUGUUUGAUGCCUGCGCAACACCUAUUAAUUAUCUCUGGGAUUUAGAUCACGUGCAAGAGAGACAUGACAUACAGGGCAGAAUAAUGAAAACCAGCAUGCGAUCGCUGAUAAACAAUUUAUUUAUCCUGUUCUAUGAAGCAGUGAACAAAAAAAUUAAGUAAUAUUCAACAUUUUGAAAGCUGUAUAUUGCUUUCCUCUCUGGUAUUAAUGAUAUGUUUGUGCAUCACUGCUGUCUGACAAGGGACAUAACCAGUAUGUUAUCAGGCAAGGGACAUAAUCGGCAUCAGAUAUCUGGUAAUGGACUUCAUCGAUAUCUGAUAUCAAGCACGUGACUUAAUCGAUAUCUCAUAUCAAGCAGAGGAUAUAAUGAUUAGCUGAUAUCACGCAAAGAGCGAAAUGGGUAUUUUAGCUAUAUUUAUUAGAGGGAGCCAGUUUACGUGCGUGCGUAUAAUAAUAAUAAAUGAUGUAUUAAUACAGAAUGCAUGCAGUUGCCAGAGUAUGUGAGGAGAACCGGAACUGAAAAAGCAAUCCAGCUAACUCAUAUUACAUCUAAUACUUAAUAAUCUCAAUCAAUCAUCAUACUAAAAGUAUUUCUGUGCAUAUAUCAAAACCAGUCAUCAUUAACCAAAAAUACGUCCAUGACAAAAGUAAUCAUUUUAAUCAUAAAUAUAUCUACGUCAAUGUAUGUAUGUAUAUAUAUAUAUAUAUAUAUAUAUAUAUAUAUAUAUAUAUAUAUAUAUAUGUGUGUGUGUGUGUGUGUGUGUGUGUGUGUGUGUGUGUGUGUGUGUAUAGGCUAGGCCUAUAUUAGUGUUGCAGACUUUCGUUUAAAAAAAAUGGAGUCGUCAACAUUGUCGAGAAAAGGGGAAAUCGCGUUUAUCAAAAUUUUCUAUGAGGAAUUGCACUUCUAAACGUGAUAUACUAACAAAUUGAUACCCAUUUAUAACCUACAUACAUGUAUGUAAUAUAUUUUUUUAGAUUUAAUGUCAUGUGUUUUCGAAACAAUUCACUAAUACAGUAAUAAGAAAUAUAAUAAGGAAUAAGCCUCAAAAUAGAGGCAAGGCAUUUUGAUGGGGCGCACGUGCGCGAUUGCGCCUCUCAAAAAUGAAAGUCUGUGUUCCUAUUCCACACAUUCACUUUGAUUCACAAGAAGGUAGAUCGCCUGUCUCAGAGAGGUGGAUUUUUUUUUCACGUCAUUAACAAUGUACAUGCACUAAAUAAAAUGUAUUUAAUAUAUAAA